GGAAGAUGUGAAGCUGAUGGUGGAAACAGGCCUUGAAGCCUAUAGAUUCUCCAUUUUUUGGUCAAGAUUGAUUCCAAAUGGUAGAGGACCUAUCAAUCCCAAGGCAUUAGAGUUCUACAACAAUCUUAUCAAUGAACUGAUCAGCAAUGGAAUCCAACCACAUGUGACACUAAACAACUUUGAUUUUCCACAAGCACUUGAAGAUGAAUAUGGAGGAUGGAUUAGUCCUCAAAUGAU